CGAAGGUCGAUGUCGAUUGGAGGUUGUGCCCUUGAGGCGUGGCUUCCGGAGCUAACGCGUUAAAUCGACCGCCUGGGGAGUACGGCCGCAAGGUUAAAACUCAAAUGAAUUGACGGGGGCCCGCACAAGCGGUGGAGCAUGUGGUUUAAUUCGAUGCAACGCGAAGAACCUUACCUGGUCUUGACAUCCACAGAACUUUCCAGAGAUGGUUUGGUGCCUUCGGGAACUGUGAGACAGGUGCUGCAUGGCUGUCGUCAGCUCGUGUUGUGAAAUGUUGGGUUAAGUCCCGCAACGAGCGCAACCCUUAUCCUUUGUUGCCAGCGGUCAGGCCGGGAACUCAAAGGAGACUGCCAGUGAUAAACUGGAGGAAGGUGGGGAUGACGUCAAGUCAUCAUGGCCCUUACGACCAGGGCUACACACGUGCUACAAUGGCAUAUACAAAGAGAAGCGACCUCGCGAGAGCAAGCGGACCUCAUAAAGUAUGUCGUAGUCCGGAUUGGAGUCUGCAACUCGACUCCAUGAAGUCGGAAUCGCUAGUAAUCGUAGAUCAGAAUGCUACGGUGAAUACGUUCCCGGGCCUUGUACACACCGCCCGUCACACCAUGGGAGUGGGUUGCAAAAGAAGUAGGUAGCUUAACCUUCGGGAGGGCGCUUACCACUUUGUGAUUCAUGACUGGGGUGAAGUCUCAAAGGGGGGGCAAAAAA
rnacentral:rRNA from 1 species